UCUUCGGAAGUCAGUGGCAGACGGGUGAGUAACACGUGGGAACGUGCCCUUCGGUUCGGAAUAACUCAGGGGAAACUUGAGCUAAUACCGGAUACGCCCUUAUGGGGAAAGGUUUACUGCCGAAGGAUCGGCCCGCGUCUGAUUAGCUUGUUGGUGGGGUAACGGCCUACCAAGGCGACGAUCAGUAGCUGGUCUGAGAGGAUGAUCAGCCACACUGGGACUGAGACACGGCCCAGACUCCUACGGGAGGCAGCAGUGGGGAAUAUUGGACAAUGGGCGCAAGCCUGAUCCAGCCAUGCCGCGUGAGUGAUGAAGGCCUUAGGGUUGUAAAGCUCUUUUGUCCGGGACGAUAAUGACGGUACCGGAAGAAUAAGCCCCGGCUAACUUCGUGCCAGCAGCCGCGGUAAUACGAAGGGGGCUAGCGUUGCUCGGAAUCACUGGGCGUAAAGGGCGCGUAGGCGGCCGAUUAAGUCGGGGGUGAAAGCCUGUGGCUCAACCACAGAAUUGCCUUCGAUACUGGUUGGCUUGAGACCGGAAGAGGACAGCGGAACUGCGAGUGUAGAGGUGAAAUUCGUAGAUAUUCGCAAGAACACCAGUGGCGAAGGC
rnacentral:rRNA from 1 species